rnacentral:rRNA from 1 species
GACGAACCGUGCGAACGUUGUUCGGAAUCACUGGGCUUAAAGGGCGCGUAGGCGGCCACGAACGUCCGGGGUGAAAUCUUUCGGCCCAACCGGAAAAGGGCCCCGGAUACGGCGUGACUGGAGGGGGAUAGGGGCGGACGGAACUUCCGGUGGAGCGGUGAAAUGCGUUGAUAUCGGAAGGAACGCCGGUGGCGAAAGCGGUCCGCUGGGUCCCAUCUGACGCUGAGGCGCGAAAGCCAGGGGAGCGAACGGG